CAGCUCAGGGGAAAUCCCACGAGAGGCCGUGCGGCCCACAAGAACGAAUUCAGAAGGGAAGCAAGAGCCCAAUGUAAUGCUGUCUUCAGAAAUCAGAAACACCAUUGGACCAGGAGAGUGUGGUCUCGAGAGCCCUGAAUUGUCCCCAGUGGGCUGUUACCCUAAAACUCCUGAUAAUGUAAGGAAUGGUCUGAGACGGCAGGAACUGACCUUGGUGAGCUGAACAGAGGCCGAAAUUAAAAUCGAGAAGGCGCAGGGUAGCUGGUAAUUGCAAUCGGAAGGAGCUGAGGAUUCUGAAAAACCAAACUGCAGCACAGUUUCUCUGGAAGGAGACCCAAGCCAAGGAAUAGAAUUCUGACAACAUUCCAGAAACUUCCCGGGUUUCCUUCAGGGUGACAGCACUUUCCUGUGCCCCUGGAGGGAACCACCGUCCUGUUUCAUCCAGGGCCUCCAGUUAAAUGAUUAAUGGAAAUGAAAGAAAACUGGCAUCUUUGUCUUUUUCCUGACUUCAAACAGAAAAAUUUUGACACUUCACCUCUGAGCAUGACAUUUUUUAUGAGAUGAGAACAGCUUUUGAACCCCGGUUCCAACCGUCAACAGAAUAGCAACGUCUGUAAGAAGUUUGAUGCUGUCAUGGUUUCAGUGGGACAAGCUUUUCCUGGUAAAUUUCUGCUGAAGUCCUGCUUUUCCUUGCCCUGGACUAGCCGCGCACAGUGACAUUCUGAAGUUGUAGCGCCCUCAGGACGCAUCACACAUUCUGAAUGGCACCCUGCAUUUUAGCGGUAUCUGACUGUGUUUGUAAAAACGGUUCCUGUGAACAGUGUUUGGACUCGAGACAGCUAAUUUCCUGCAUCGUGUGGAUUUCCAGAACAAUGCCAGAAGGACUGAGAACACUCUCUGUGUUGACUACACAAAAAUGUUCUUAACGUUUGCCCAGGGCCAGAACUUUAUCUCUUUCAGUGUAUUAAAAAUACUACCCUGGAGAGCCCAGUGUUAAAGGAAGAGCAUUUAAUUAGUCAAGUGCUUUUGAAAUCAUCCUUUUGAAUUCUGGUAUAGCACUGAAGAAGAAGAAAGGGCCCCAACUGGCACAGACAGACCCUAAUCACCCGAAAGUAAAAUUUAAACAGAAAAGUCUGGUUUUCCUCUGCUGCUUCCCCUAACUCCAUCUCACCCAGGACUUUCUCAUUAAAGUUUAGUAAUUGUUGGCUGCUGGAA